rnacentral:rRNA from 1 species
UUUACGGGAGGCAGCAGUGGGGAAUUUUGGACAAUGGGCGAAAGUCUGAUCCAGCCAUGCCGCGUGCAGGAUGAAGGCCUUCGGGUUGUAAACUGCUUUUGUACGGAACGAAAAGGUUUGGCCUAAUAAGCUGAGCUCAUGACGGUACCGUAAGAAUAAGCACCGGCUAACUACGUGCCAGCAGCCGCGGUAAU